AUCAUGCUCAGGACGAACGCUGGCGGCGUGCCUAAUACAUGCAAGUCGAGCGGACAGAUGGGAGCUUGCUCCCUGAUGUUAGCGGCGGACGGGUGAGUAACACGUGGGUAACCUGCCUGUAAGACUGGGAUAACUCCGGGAAACCGGCUAAUACCGGAUGGUUGUCUGAACCGCAUGGUUCAGACAUGGUGGCUUCGGCUACCACUUACAGAUGGACCCGCGGCGCAUUAGCUAGUUGGUGAGGUAACGGCUCACCAAGGCGACGAUGCGUAGCCGACCUGAGAGGGUGAUCGGCCACACUGGGACUGAGACACGGCCCAGACUCCUACGGGAGGCAGCAGUAGGGAAUCUUCCGCAAUGGACGAAGUCUGACGGAGCAACGCCGCGUGAGUGAUGAAGGUUUUCGGAUCGUAAAGCUCUGUUGUUAGGGAAGAACAAGUGCCGUUCAAAUAGGGCGGCACCUUGACGGUACCUAACCAGAAGCCACGGCUAACUACGUGCCAGCAGCCGCGGUAAUACGUAGGUGGCAAGCGUUGUCCGGAAUUAUUGGGCGUAAAGGGCUCGCAGGCGGUUUCUUAAGUCUGAUGUGAAGCCCCCGGCUCAACCGGGGAGGGUCAUUGGAAACUGGGGAACUUGAGUGCAGAAGAGGAGAGUGGAAUUCCACGUGUAGCGGUGAAAUGCGUAGAGAUGUGGAGGAACACCAGUGGCGAAGGCGACUCUCUGGUCUGUAACUGACGCUGAGGAGCGAG
rnacentral:rRNA from 1 species